rnacentral:lncRNA from 1 species
AAUUUCCAAUAAUACACCUACUUUGUUCCUCGAAAAAGAGAAAAAAGAUAGUUUGAUAUAAAAUUUUCACGAACAACUGAUGUCUACCAGGUAUGCACCCUUCUUCUUCUCGUGUGUUCUAUGAACUCGGGGUAUGCUAUUAGAGUAAUUCUUUAGUGAAUGAUUAAUUUGUUAUUGUGAAAAUUAGAUAUAAAACUGCAUAUAAAGCUGCAGUAGUUCCUCGAUCUAAUACUUUGCAUUAACAAAACACUUUUUUAUCUCCCCUCGGAAAACUUGUAGGUAGAAGCACUGUACCUUUCCCUAUUAAUUCCUUUUGAUAGGAUGAGCUAUAAAGAAACUAAUACCAUAAAUCAAAGAUAAUAUCUAGGUUCUAGCACAAAUACAAAAAUCAACUAAUUGUCAUUGUUGCUUAAUGGAUGUAAGGCUACUAAAUAUUUACUAACCCUUUCCUAUUGUUCUCUCCUGAUAGGACGAACAUCAAAGAUAUUAAUUCCACACAUCAAGGGGAGAAGUUUAGGAUAGUAAUUAGUGAAUACUAAGCAGCCAAACAUCCUUAAACCAAGUGACAGUAGGCAUCAGCAAUUGCACCAGAAAAUAGUAGAAGAUUACCUUUCCCAAUGUUUAUACCUUAGCUUGUAAACAUUGUAUACCUUUAAACUCUCGCCAGGUAUGAUGAUAGAUAGACUAUAUGAAUUCAUUUCAGGCAUUGUGAAGUUAAGCAAACCUAAAAUGUGGCAUCCUCAUCGAAUCUAUGUUAAGAAUUUUCUUUACUGUAGUAGAAAGAUAAGUACCUACAAAAUCCACAGCUAAGUUAGCAAAAAAAUCACCCACUGUGUGGUCGUCCCUCAAAGAGUGUUUCAAUUGGAUAGAAACAUUUUUCCUCAUCUUGUUAAUUGCUUCAACCUCCUUAACCACACUCCAAGGAAACUCUCAAGUUCCUGCAGUAAUAUUUAUCACAGUUAGAAAAUUAGUUUCGACUAUUAGGGGCAAUGAAUUCCUUUCAACGCAAAAGUGAAUUGCAUCACUUAAAGUCACUGCUUCAACAACUAUACUGGUUAAAUCAGGUAAUCUUCUCCCUUUUACUCCUACAAUAUCUCCUUCACCAUUUCUAAUAAAAAAAUAGAUGAACAAGGCCAAGAUUACCUUUGAAUGCACCAUCAGUGUUACAUUUAUACCAUCCAAGAGGAGGGUGUAAGCUUCUCAAGUCCUAUAACUGUACCUUGGAUCCAACUUUCCCGAACAACAAUAAGAGGCCAAAUCUUAGGUAAAUUCUAAAAUAGAGGAAAUAUGGUAGAAAUAAACUUAUAAAUAGUAUCAUUUACAUCAUAAACAAUCUUCUCAUAAGCAUACAACUACCAUGAAUGAUGGUAUUUCUACUUUCUGAAGGAACUAAAGAAUUAUGGUUAGGACAUCAGCCAUGACACUUUUAAACUUUUCAUUACCCCGUGCAUCUCUCCUUUUUUGGACAAUUUGUUUGAUCUUAAUGACAGACCUUUAUAUUCCAGCAGCACUUGAAAAAUAUGACCAUACCUUUUUGGCCUCCUCAUCAGUAAGCAAAAUAUGAUGUACAGAAUGUACCUCACAAACAUAUACAAUUAGGAUCACUAUAACUAUUCUAUUUAGCAGUAGUAGUAGCCAUAAGUAUUUUGGUGCUCCAAAUCCUCUAGGCUAAAAAUCCAAAUUUAAACUAUAAAACUUUCACCUAAAUCUGAUUGUAUUGGAUAUUCUCUUCCUCCUUGUCUCUUAGUAACUCCCAAGCAGAGCUGACCUUGAAUUUCUCUGUAUUGGUGAGUAACCACCAUGGCCUGUCAGAUAGACUAGAGGGGACAAAAUUACUCAUUUGUAAUUCAAUAUGCUCAACUGUUCUUGCUGGCAAAACCUGUUGUAAUUUAUCAAAUUUCCAGCCUUCCCCAUUCAUCAAUUCACUUAAAUCCAUCGUUUCAGGCCUAAUUUGACAUUUAGAACAUCAUGUAAAAAAAACAAGCUUGGUCUAAUUUUCAUACCAAAUAUUAUUGGUUCCUCCACUAGGUUCCCACCAAAUAUAGUUUUCUAGCACAACCCUAUUUUCUAACAUGUACUUCUAUACUCGAGAAACCCUUUUCCAAAGAACCAUUAUGAAAAUUUCUUUCUUGCAAUUUUAUUCCACAUAAAUUUUCCCAUAGAGAUCUACUAGUUCUAAAAUUCCACCAUAACUUUAUGCAAACAUAGCCUUGGAAACAUCAAACAGGGAUUUGAAUCCUAGACCCCCUUCUUCCUUGGUACACAAACAUUAUGCCAAGUAGCCCAAUACUUUCUUCCACUUGUUUUUUUGUUGUUCCAAAAGAACCUAGCAAAAUUCUUGUGUAACUCUAUUGUUACACAUUUUAGAGGAACAAUAGCAGACAUGACAUGAAUAGGGAUACUUUGUAGUACACUAUAAAUUAAUGUUGCCUUACCACCAUAUGAGAGCAUCCUCCCCUACCAAGUUUGGAGUUUAUUUUUCAUCUUUGUAAUGAGUUCAUUAUAGUCACUAUUUCUUUUCAUAGCAUGGGUGAUAGGACACCCUAAAUAAGAAAAAUAAAUCUGACCUCUUAAAAUGCUUGUACAUCUAUUAACCAAACCUAUUAGAUGAGCACUAGGAUUCUGAUGCACGUACCAAAUACUCUUUCCUUUAUUAUUCAACUGUCCAGACUUAUUUUCGUACCGGCCCGGCUUUCAUGAUUUUCUUGAGAGAUAUCUCGUGCGCUGUGGAAAAAAUGAUAGCAUCAUCAAUAUAUGCUGAAUGAUUCAGAUUUGCACUCCAUUAAGGCAUGCCAUAUCCCACAUUUUGACCAUCCUCAUAAAAAUCAUUCAAAGCUCUGGUUAACACGUCUGCACUUAGAAUGAAUAAAGUUGGGGAGAAAGGGUCACCCUAUUUGACUAGGGUUGUGCAAAAAUCGAACUGAUCGAUAAAUCGAACCAAUAAAAAUGUUAUUGGGUUAUUGGUAUUGGGUUAUCAGGUUAACGAUUUUUUAUUGGUUUUAUAAAAAAUUUUAUUGGGUAAACGGUUCGGUAUUGGUUUUAGUAUAUUGGGUUAUCGGUUAAACCGAUAACCCAAUAAGGAUACACUAAUUUAUUGUUUCAUCCCUAUUUAUAUUAUAUAUUUAAAUCUCUCUCUUUAUCUCUCUAUAUAUGUAUGUAUGUAUGUAUAUAAAUUAUAUGCACUACUAAUUCAUAAUUUAGUGAUUCACAAAGUAUUAACCUAUUCAGGGCAAUAAAGGUACAAUAUAAAGUUUGACUAUUAUCGUAAUAAAAAGCUUGAAGCAUUUAUAGCUUCCAACAAUUAGGAUUCAAUUUUCUUCCUAACUAACAUUCAGUUUAAGUUUGAAGAUUUUUGUAAACUAAAAUGCAUUGCAUAGGUUUUGGCGGUAAUUAAGAUUUCAUUUUUUAUGUUAGUUGUUACUAUUUCUAUUUUAUAAGUAUUUUCUUAUUGGUUAAACUGAAAACCAAACCGUUAAGAACAAAAAAUCGAUAAACCGAAACCGAUAAGAAAAUAUCUUAUUGGUUGGUUAUUGGUUUUACAUAUUUAAAAAUCGAAAAUUGAUAAACCGAACCAAUAAUACUUAAAACCGAACCGAGCCGACCGUUGCACACCUCUAUAUUUGACCCCUCUAAUGAAGCAAAAAAAAUCCCUGAGCCUGCCCAUUUGCUAGCACUGAAUACCUAUUAUUUGCUAUAAUUCUCUAAAUGAUAUUGAUAAAUGCCUUUAAAAAGCCCAUCUUUCUCAGGACUUUCAUUAAAUAAAACUAAGCUACUCUAUCAUAAGCCUUUUUCAUGUCUUGCUUGAUGAUAAGAUUGGUUGGUUUCCCCCUUUUAGUGGUGUCUAAAUUAAUCUCUUGAGUAAGCAAUACAUUUUCAAUAAUGUUGCUUCUCUUCACAAAUCCUAAUUGAUCAGCAGAGAUCAAUAUAGGUAGCACCAUCAAUAGUCUAUCACGAAUAACCUUAUAUAGACCUUUAUUGAUAAAGUUAUUCAAGCUUAUAGGUCUAAGGUAAACAAAUGUGAGUGAUGGAUUUUGUGAAGUAUUACUUGAGAAAAAGGUGAAAACCAUCUUCCACAAAUCAAGAUCUACAAUAUCCCAACACCUAUAUGUAACGCCCCGGAAAACGGGUCCCGGAGCAUCAUACGGUGCUUGAGGCUAUGAGUAGCCCCAAGCUAACCCUUUGACCCAUUUUCAUUCGGUUCAACACAAAUCAACGGGGUUUUCAUAAAUAACCCUCAAAUAUCAACAUAGUAAUCAUCAUCCAAGAAUAAAAGAAUUUCAGAAAGAUAACAAAAUAUGACUUAUUAGUCAACGCCCAAUAUCUAUACUAGUCUGACAAGCCUCUAAGAAAAUCAAUAAAACUAGCGAACCAUUGAGACAUGCCCCAACUGGCUCAUACUCAGUUAUCAAAUGUAAACAAUUCCGUGAAACCAACAUCAGACGUCACGUCUUCGGAACAUAAGGACUCACCACAACAGAGGAUGUAGAACAGCGUGCCCGAAGAAUCACUGUCGAACCUGGAACUGAGCACCUGAACCUACAUUUCGAGAAAAUGCAUCCCACAUCCGAAGAUGUGGGUCAGUACCAUGGAAAGGAACCGAGUAUAUGGGGGUGUAUGCAGUUUUAUAAACAUCAUCAUCAUAAAUAUUUAUAAGAAAUAUGCAGGAUGUAUGAAAGACUCACAUAGCCCGAAGAAAAUCAUCAUAAUCAUGAGAGGAUGAAAUAAGUAUAAUAACAUAUGUGAGUCAUCAUAUAAUUUUUCAAUCACUUUCAGUUCAUCAAGAAUAUCAAUUCUCAUAAUGUAAAUAUCAUUUAAAUCUUUCGAAAGAAUAACUUUCACAAUUCUACUUUCAAAUUACUUCACCGUUCACCAUAGACACAAAGAAACACACACACACACUGGGAGAUCCUAUAACCGACAUAAACCAUGUGAUCUACAUGGAGUUCAACGUCUCAUAAAAUACGGUUCACUACUAUUCACGGUUCGAUCGGAAUGUUCAUAACUCGUCGCUCGGGUGUCUGUUUUGGAUGAUCCAUAUAUAGUUAGAAAGCUUAUUCAAUACUUUACGCAAUGGUGGGUCAUAAUCUAAGAUAUUCCAUACGAAAAAUUUAUAAUUCACUUUAGAAGAUAGAAUCCAACACGUUUACGCACAAAAUUUCAACGAAAAAUUUCCCGAGGUAUUACACUAUGAUAGAAAAGACUUAUGAAAACAUUUGGACCACUAGCACUGUGCCCAUUAAGGUUAAAACUAGCCGUUUUGACCUCUUCCAUAGUAGGCAUAAUGUAAAGUAAAAUAUUAUCUUCUUCAGUGAUGAUCUGUGGAAUAUGUCUAAGGAGUAAAAAGUUUGUAGCAUCCCUCUCUUGAGUAAACUAUUUCAGGUAGAACCUUUUAGAUUCAUCUCUUAUUUGUUUUUUAUAUUCUAGAAUAUCUCCUUUCUCCUUAUGACGUCUUGCCAAAUACAAUCUCUUCCUUCUUUCUUUCACUAGACUAUGAAGGAAUCUAGUAUUUCUUUCCUUUUUUUCAAACCAUGUAAAACGGACUUCUAUUUUUAGUACUCUUCCUCAAAAUGUAAAUACUUUUUGAAUCCUACUUGUAUUUUCUACAUAACUUCUCUAUUCAGACUACUUGGAUCUUCUUUAAAUAAUUUCUCUUUGAUCUUAACAAUAUCCUCUCUAAUUAUUAACUACUGAAAAAUAUCACCAUAUACUUCUUUACUCUAUAGAAUGAGUACAAAUUUCAUCUUCUUUAAUUUCUCCUUGAAGAUAAACAAGGGUUAUCGACAUCAGAAUUAGAAACAUGCCAGUUCUUCCUCACUAUUUGCAUGAAACUAUCAUGUUCUACCCAAAAAUUUAGAACUUUAAACGAUUAGCUAAUAGACACCACAUGCUCACUCAGUUAAGUAGCAUUGGAGCAUGAUCAGGCCUAAUCCUUGAUAGAUGAUCAACCUCUGUAUGAUUGAACCAAUUUUGAAACCCCUAGUUAAUUAAAACUCUAUCAAGCCUUCCAAAAAUACAGCCCUCCACAACUCUACCAUUCCACCAUGUUAAAGGAAUACCUAUGAAAAGCACUUCUGUCAAGUCACAAGAACCAAUACAGUUUGCAAAGCAUUUAUAUCAACAUACUGUACAACAAGCCCACCUAACUUCUCUUCCUCAUACAAAACUACAUUGAAAUCACUACCUAAUAUCCAUGAAAGAACAAUAGAAUUGUUUAAUUGAUAAAUUUCCUUCCAUAAAGCUUAUUUUCCCACUAUCAUAUUUUGCAUAGACAAGUGUUAUUUAUAAAUCUUUGAUUAAAGUAGAACCCCAAACCUUAAUAGUGAGAUAUUGUGCUACAUCCAAUACAAUGUCUACCUAAAACCUUCUUUGACAAAAAUCCAGAUUUUGCCAUUAUAAUUUGAUCUCUCAAAUGGAAUUCAUAGUCUUCUUCGAUAUUUAUUGAUUACUCUAGUCUAUUAAAAGGUCUCCAUUAAGAAAUAAAAGUAAAUUUAUGUGCUUUAUUAAGAAUUUGAACACUUUGAAAAGCUUUUUGUGUCUUUAAAGACCUAAUAUUCCAAAAGAAGAACUUCAUUAUUAAGCCUUGGUCUUGUGCAACCCUAUUCUUGGCCUUGUCCUAGUAGACAGAAUUCCAACAUAAGUGCUACUAUUCUUGAAUUUUCUGCAAGACUUGUUGCUUUUCAGAGGGGUAUCUAUUUUAUUUUUUCAUUAUCAUCCUGAUUAUCUUCAUUCGUGAUGAAAAAAUUUCUUUCCUGUUGUGUUUGUUGUGCUUAAAACUAAGGUGAAGUUUUACCUAUAAAAUAUGAAUCAACUUCACCUGUGUUGGUAGAAUAACUCUGCUGCAGUGUUUUUUGUGCUUGAGAUUAAGGUAGAACUUCACCUAUAGAAUGUGAACUAACGCCCUCUAUAUUGAUAGAACUAUUGUACUUUGAUCACGCUCACCUAUAGCAUUGUUUGGUGUAGGACAAUUGUUGUCAAUAUAAUUACCCAACUUGAGUUCGGGUCGAAUCCACGAGGAGUGUAACUAGUAUUCGAAUCCUAUGUAUGUUGAAAACUUUUAAGUAUUUACCCGCAAUGUAAACAUAAAGUAAGACAUAAAUUAAAAUUGGGGGGUAUAGUUUAAAAAGUUGUUUGAACAAAAUUCACUUGAACUGCCAAUUUAGAGCAAUAAUUUUUAGAUAAAAAUUCAAUAGGAGAAUAGUCUUAGGAUUAUGCUUUCCUAGGGGUAAAUAUUGUAUGGGUACAAUGAACAUAUGGGUAGGCUGGGUUUGGGGUUUUGGUGUUAGGCUUUCAACCAAACACCAAAAAUACCACCCAUGGAUUCUUUCGAAUACCUCAUAGGUAUGGCACACAAAUCAAUCCAAAACCUCAAUUGGGCAUCCCUAUUUCGAGGAAGAUUCCAAAGACAUAGAAAAUUCACCAUCCAUCUUUAUUUCUAAGACAACUGAUAAGUCAUCAAUUUGAGGAUUUUUUAGAACCUAUUAAGCCUAAAUUACUAUGUUUUUCCAUUAGUUUUAUGUUAAUCUCUUGCUUGAUGCUCAUUGGUGUAGGAAAAAAUAAAAAGGGAGGAUGAGCAAGUCAUUCAAGUCAAAAAGAGGUUAAAUGUUAAACAACAGAGUUAAAUUCUAGAAAUCAAGCCUAGGAAUCGACCCUUAGUUACCGCGAUCGUAGCCUGAGGGUCGUGAUCGCGACUGGUCAAUAAGUCAACUAGAGGGCAAUCGCGAUAUGAAUAUCACGAUUGUGAUCGCGGGAGUCGCGAAUGUGGUGAAGAGGUGGAGAUCGCAGUAGAGUGGAAAAGUUUCAAGGGCAUUUUUGUAAUAUUUGAAAAAUGGAAUUGGGGCUCAAAUAAGUGUUUUUAGCUCAUUUUUCACCAUCCAUUAUUCAUCUUUCAUCAUCAACUUAGCUUAGCUGUAGGGUUUUGUUUUCUUUGGAGUUUGGAGCUUAAAUUUGUACUAAUUUGAGACAAGAAUCAAUUAAUGGAACUCCAAAGUAUAGAUUUGGCAUCACCCAUUGAAGAUUCAUUGGAUUUUAAAGUGUGGUUUUUCCACCCUUAUUUUUAAUGAAUAACUUUGGUGGAAAUGUUGGUAUAUUCGUGUUUAUUAUCUUUAUGAUUUGCUAGAUCUACCUCUUGGAAUUAUGUUUGAGUAGAGUGCAAGUGUGUGGAUAUUGAUUGUUAGAUUCAACUUAUGGUUAAUGUUGAUGGGUUUUACAAAUGUUUGAAUGCAAAAUGGGAAUUGUAGGUGAGAACCUCAAUUUCCCCUAAAAUUCCCACACCAUCCUUGAAAUAGGGAUGCGGGUAGUCUAGAUCCUACAUCAUCCUUGAAAAAGGGAUGUAGGUGACAUAAAUAUUUGUGAACAAUAAUGUAGAUAGUAGUUAUUCCCAUAUUGUUGUCUUAGAAAUUAGGAUAAAAUGUGGAAUUGCUAUCUCUUGAACAUUAUCCUAGAAAUAGGGAUGUUAAAUUAAGGCUUUUGGGUUGAUUAGAAUGUCAACACCCGUGAUAUUUUGGUAUUUUUUGAGAGACUAACACCGAAACCCUGAACCUAGCCUACCCACUCACACAGUAAUUAAAAUUUUAUGCUAUCUUUCAUAUAUUCGCUCACACUAGUUUGCUCUUAGGAAAUAUAAUCCCAAGAUCUAUUCCUAAUUGAUUGCACUCUAAUUAUUCUUAGUCUCGAAUUAGUCCUUUAGAAUCCCAAAAUUUGUCUUAUAGUUUUGAAAAAAUUCUAAAAUCUCUAAAAAUUUUUGAAUAAUAUGUUUGAAUUUAACAAGUGACUUUAAUUCCAAACUUAUUUAAUUUCCACUAGCAUUGUUCCUCGUGGAUUUGACCUCAACUCAAAGUUGGGUAAAUAUAUUGACCACGAUCACCUUGCACUUAAAUUAACGUGUAAGUUGAGUGUUAUAAAAAAUGGCACCGUUGUCGGAGAAUAAUUUAGCGUAUUGUGUUAGUUUAGAAUUUUAGCUUACUUGCUUUGGUUCAAACUUGUAAAUAUUUGUUUGUAAUUUUCUUUUGUUCUUUGUUUAGGUAGAUUUUUAUUUUUAUUUAUUUAUUACUAUAGCAUCUUAGAAUGAAUAUGAGUUUGGUGGUUGGAAAUCUUAUCUUGAUAACCCAUGUUCAUGUUAUGGUCGACCCCACUUUUGGCAAUGUUAUAGUUAUACUCCCCGAAAAGAGAUGUGUGCACCUUCUCGAUCCUCUUGGGAGUAUGAUUGUUCCUUAUGUGGUGGUCGAGAUGGACAUUGGAGAAAUUGUCCAAAUACCCCUUUCCCUCGUUAUACUAAACCAAAUUAUGGUUCUUCUUAUGAGUUUGAUAGGUCUUAAGAUGAGAAAAAGGAAGAACAAUGUGACAGAUACAAUGGUGUUUAAGCAACACUUCAACUUAUCUUAGAUCGGGUGUAAACAAUGGGGUAUAACAUUCAUCUUAUGCAUCAAGCCAUGUGGGCAUGUAGAAAGGAAAUUAAAAGGAUAUAAGAAAUGGGUAAUGAGUCCGACAUUUCAAAAACUAUGAAUAUACCCACUCUUCAAAAUGAGGUUAAAGAAGAAAAAAUGUCAAGCACAUGGAUUAUGGCAAGCUUGAUAGUGAAUAACCCUCAAUGGUUUCCCAACCAACCAAACCAAACACGUGAGAUGAUGCUAAGAUUGAGGAAAUGACACAAUAGCCAAAAGAAAAAGGCAGACAAAUACUUUAUGAAGGCUCUAGUUCAUUUUGGGGUGAGAAUAUCAAGAAGUAUGCGAGUUCAAAAUUAGGAAGAAGACCUCACUCAAAACGCUUUUCAACAUUAUACUUGGUGGAUGUGAUGAAAUACAAACCACCCAACCAAAUGAUGAAUUUUGGAGCUGAGGAGGAAAAUCCCUACAUUUUGGAGUUUGUCAUUCCAAAAGGGCAAAAUGAAGCCCCUCACUUGAAGGAAAAAAUACAAAAUUCGAUGUGUAAUAAGUGAAUUCUUGAUGUUCUCAUCGAUACCCAAUGAGCAUAUUAGGAAGUUUUGAUGUGAAGUUUGGUAAAAGAUUCAAGUCCUUAAAAUAGAGAGAUAAAAAAUAUUUUGUUGUGUCCUCACCUUUGCCCAAAGUACCUCGAAAAUGUAUUGAUCUAAAGUUGGGACACCAAUUUAAAUCUUCUAAAUGGAGACACAAAUGAUAGUCAAAAGAUGUCGUGCUACUACUUUAACUAAGGCACUUCUUGAGAGGCAACCCAAGAACUUUUUCUUGAUGUUUUCUAGUAUCUUGGUUAAAUUUUUAGCUUGUUUUUGGGUGUUUGUAGGUGAUAGCAAGUUAUAAUGGGUACCUCAAGAUGAAACCCAGGAUAAGUACAGUGGAAUUUCUUUUCAUCACUUUUCUCUUUUAAGUAAGCUUACAAGGUAUGAUCUUUAAAAUACAAAUGAUGACACAUUCCAUGGUAUCUUUUUGUUUGAAUUUAAUUCAUUUAAGCUUAAUUUGGUAGAAUAUAGUUAUUGGGAUGAGGAUUUUUGAAUGUGUGCCUUGUCUCAAAUGCUAAAUUGCAAAAUUGUUAUUUUCAUACACUAGUGCACACCACGUGUUUGAUGAAACACCCACUUGAGGUUUGUUUGCUUAAUUGAGUGGUGGGUGAUUUAAUCGGGUUAGUAUGAUUAUAAGUGGUGUGUUUGGUAAUAAAUUAGUGUAUUGGUAUUGUUCACAUAUGUUGUUAUUCUAUUUAUUCAAGCUCUCACUUUUCAUGCACACCACAUGUUUGUUAAAUUGUCAAUAAGAGAAAAAUGUCUUAUAUGCUUGUAAAGGUUAAUGUGAACUUUCUUGGGGCGUUAUGUGAUUAUUUUUGGAGUAUAGCUUUGAGUCCAAUUUGUCUUGAAUGUGGAAUAACCGGUGGUCUUUGGUUGAAAUUUUUGAGGAAUGUUGCGCCCAUGGUAAGAACAACAUGAAUGAUUGCUUUACCCUAUGAUAGAUUGGGUGACACCAUUCUUAUGGGUAUUGGACCAUUUGUGUUUCUAUUGGUGUUAUGAGUGUUUCAUGAUCUAAAUGGGCAAUAUGUGAAAUUGUGAGGAAAUAAUCCCAUGAAUUUUAAUGAUAAUGUUGCCUUACAUUCCCUUAAAUUUUUCUUUAAUUGUUUAGGAAUAGGCAAAAGUUCAAAAAUGCUUUCAAAAUAUUAUGGCCAAAAAUGAAAUGAUAUUGAGAAAAACCAAAAAAAUUAUAGUUUUCUUUGUGAAAAUGAUCAAGGAUGUUCUUGACCUUUCUUUUGAAUGAGACCAUUAAUUUUACUUUUUGGUUCUCUCUUUACAAGAACGAGUCCUUAACUCGGAGUAACUUAUUAAGCUCAAAUUGGUUGGGAGAUUAACUUUUUUCUCUAUGAGUACUAUGCCAUGUGUUGUGAGAUUUUGAAUAAUUUUUAUACAUAUGUGUAGUCUAGAACUUGUCCUGAGUGUGUUCAAAGCAAAAUUCUAGACAAGCUUGGUUUGGAGGAUGACCCGAGGCCAUUUUUAACACAUCACAUAGCCAAAUUCCCACCUUAACAUCGUUUUCUAGUUAGCCCCUUUGAGCCUUUUUGCCUAUUUUUCUUUCUUUUUGUAAUGAUAAUUUUGCUAAAACACCUAACCCCUUUUAAAAUCUUCCUUUUGACACUUAACCUCCUUUGAUACAUCAAAUGAUUCAAAGUAAUGAAAUGUAGGUGAAAGCCUAACUUUUGGGCAUUUGUGUAGUUGGGAGAAUAAUGUAAGGGUGGUUCAAACUCCAAGUUUGGGGGGAAUUAAUGUGAUGUGCUAAGAUGGACCAAUAAAGGUGUAUGUAAGGUGGUCAAAGAUACAAGAGACAUACUUAACGGUAAAGUUGUAUAGCCUAACCCAUAGAAUGUGAAGAGAAAAGAGGCAAAUGAGGGGGCUAAAUAACGCUUAAAGUUAGAAAGGUUCUUGAAAAAGCAGAAGAAAUAAAGAAAGGAAAUAGUGGCUUUGAAUUGUUUUGUAAAGGCUAAUAAAAAAGGUAGGGAGAUAUGAGAAAUAGUUUUUCGGAGAAUAAGGCAGAUAGUUUGAAAAUUUUAGGGUAGAAGGGGUUGAGGAAUUGCAUUGAAAGAGGUAUUUUAGUCACUUGACCCAUGUAUAUUCUUUCCCGCACCUUAAACCUUAAUAUUGACCCAUAAGACCAUGGUGAUUUCAAACUAGGUAAGUCUACAAUAGUGCCAGAAACACAAAGGGCAAGCCUAUGGUCCUUCUCAUUGUACUUGAAUUUCCUUGCGAGAGUGAGUGUUAAUUCUUUCAUUAUUUAGGCUCCUUUAGAAAUUUCAAUAUCUUUUGUGUGUGGAUCUAACUCUUCCUUGUGAGCGGCAUCAAUACUUUAGGGUAGAGGGUGAAUUCUUACUCUCAGUUUGGGUAAAUGGGUUAAGUAAGUUGCAUUGUGAAGAUUGAGACAAGUUGUAUUGUGAAGAUUAAGGCAAUCUUUGAAGAUUUUGUGUCUCCUCUUAAGAUUCUUAGUGAAUUGGAAGGUUAAUGUGUUACAAACUUGCAUCCUUUCUUCAUAAGAUGUGCUUGUUGAAAAUUUUGGUUCACUUGUUGCCAUGACAUGUUUGAAAGUCUUUAUAAAGCUUUGUUAACUUGUUCCUUUAGUAUAGCUUUAUUUUGGGUGGAUUUGAGUUGAAUACCCUAUCUCAUUGAAUUAUUCUUAGUUUCUUGAGGACAAGCAUUAGUUUAAGUUUGGGGGUGUUGAUAAGUCUUCAAUUUGAGGAUUUUCUAGCACCUAUUAAGCCUACAUUACCAUGCUUUUCCAUUAAUUUUAUGUUAGUCUCUUACUUAAUGCUUAUUUGUGUAGGAAAAGAUAAAAAGGGAUGAUGAGCAAGUCAUUCAACUCAAAAGAGGUUAAAUAUGAAAGAAAAGAGUCAAAUGCUAGAAAUCAAGCCUAAGAAUCGGCCCUCAGUUACUGCGAUCACGGCUUAAGGGUCGCGAUCGCGACCAAUCAACAGGUUAACCAGAGGGCGAUCGCUAUAUGACUAUCGCGAUUGAGGGAGUCGCAAACAUGGUGAAGAGGUGGCAAUCGCGGUAGAGCGAAAAAGUUUCAUGGGAAUUUUUGUGAUAUUUGAAAAAUAUGGAAUUGGGGCUCGAAUAAAGGGUUUUAGCUCAUUUUUCAGCAUCCAUUAUUCAUCUUUCAUCAUCAAAUUAGCUUAGUUGUAGGGUUUUGUUUUCUUUGGAUCUUGAAGCUUAAAUUUGUACUAAUUUGAGACAAGAAUCAAUUAUAGGAAUUCCAAAGUAUAGAUUUGG